rnacentral:rRNA from 1 species
GAUGAACGCUGGCGGCGUGCCUAAUACAUGCAAGUCGAGCGAACAGACGAGGAGCUUGCUCCUCUGACGUUAGCGGCGGAUGGGUGAGUAACACGUGGAUAACCUACCUAUAAGACUGGGAUAACUUCGGGAAACCGGAGAUAAUACCGGAUAAUAUAUUGAACCGCAUGGUUCAAUAGUGAAAGACGGCUUUGCUGUCACUUAUAGAUGGAUCCGCGCCGCAUUAGCUAGUUGGUAAGGUAACGGCUUACCAAGGCAACGAUGCGUAGCCGACCUGAGAGGAUGAUCGGCCACACUGGAACUGAGACACGGUCCAGACUCCUACGGGAGGCAGCAGUAGGGAAUCUUCCACAAUGGGCGAAAGCCUGACGGAGCAACGCCGCGUGAGUGAUGAAGGUCUUCGGGUCGUAAAACUCUGUUAUUAGGGAAGAACAAAUGUGUAAGUAACUAUGCACGUCUUGACGGUACCUAAUCAGAAAGCCCCGGCUAACUACGUG